CUCUGUGAAAGAUGGAGAGACAGAAAUGGAGGCGAGGAUGAUACUGACCUCGCCCUGCUUGGCUGCUUCGAUAGUUGUUCUCACAUCCUUCUCCUUGUGCCCGACGAAUAAUAUCGAGAGGAACCGCAAGGCGAGACGACAUGUCGUUUCCUUUCUCAGUGUGUCGGGAAAUGCCCUUCUCUUCCAGGCGAAGCAUCUGAAACUCCUUUCAGGUUUUCACUGAGGAUUUUUUAGUACCGAGCUUCUGGAAGCACAAUAGGGGGUUGGGUGAUAACUUUUAGAGGAAGGGGGAAGAGGAAAGUAAAAAAAUAUAAUGGGUUCGACGCCCAAACAGCCUUUCUUUUGCUUCAAAUGGCCAUGGGAUGCAGACCCUAAAAAUCCUUUUGACUGUUCGUUUGAGGGUCCUUGGCUGUUCAAAUCAUUGCAAAACGUGGGUGCCUUUGCUUUCAAUUUUGUUAACAAAGUUUCAAAGUCUUCACCUCCAUGGAUCAAUGCUUUUAAGCCAUUGCAUUUCGAAGCCUCAAAUGGUGGAAAUAAGAAAUCUCUGCCUAGAAAGAAGUUGACUCCUGAAGAGCAAGGAGAGGCCGAGCAUAGAGCAUUUGCAUCGGCAUUGGCCAGUGGGAAAGAAGCUACGGUGAUCGAGUUCUACUCGCCCAAAUGUCGGCUCUGCAAUUCCUUGCUGGAUGUUGUUAUGGAGAUGGAGGCAAGAAAUUCAGACUGGCUCAGCAUUGUGAUGGCAGAUGCAGAGAAUGAGAAAUGGCUGCCUGAGCUGCUUCAUUAUGACAUUAGAUACGUUCCUUGCUUCGUGUUGCUGGACAAACACGGCAAGGCACUAGCAAAGACGGGUAUUCCUAGCAGUCGGCUGCACGUAAUUGCUGGUCUUUCUCAUCUUCUCAAUCUGAAGCGCCCAAGAAGUCUCCUUGGAUCAGUUAAUAAGCCACAUUGAGCUUGUUGCCACCACCACCCGCCUUGCCGAGCCCUCCGCAUAUUUGUGCAAGCUGUCUGGAAUGGGUUGGCAUGGAUGGUUCCUUUACAAGGUUGGCUUCAAGAGACUAGCUUUCAGUAGAUUAUAAUGAUUAUUCAGGCACAUCAAAAGCUUGUCUCCAAAAAGACCAGCUUUCACUAGACCAUUAUUAUUAAUCAGGUACAAAAAAGCUUCUCUCCCCUCUCCCUCUGUAGAAAGAAAGCUGGAAUAAAGCUUGGGCAAUCUCAACUUAUAUUUCUCAUGCUUCUCAUUUAAGUGCAUAAUGGUCAUGGGUUUUACGAAGAGCUCUGAAAAUUAUUGGGACCAGAAUUCUAGAGAGAAUAUGUGGUAGAAAAUUGAAUGCUCAGUCAGCUGAAUCAGCCCAAAGGAAAAUGAUGAAUGUUUGAAAGGCUUCACAUAAAAUAAAACCUCCAGCGCCUUCAUUCAUUAAUUCUGGUAUACAUUUGCUUCUGCUGCCACUGCACGUUGGCUAAAUAAAAGCUGGUUGUUGCUUGCGAUUAUCGCAUUUAAUGUGCUCUGAUGCCAGUGUUCCCCAAGAUAACCUGUCGUUUUCUUUUCCCAGGAAAGGAAUAUUUCCAUUUUAAAAGGAAAAGCUGAUCAAAACUAUGGGUGGUCGUUAAGAUAUCUGAUAAGUGAAUUAAAUUUCCUCAUUUCAUAAAUUAAGUGUUUGUGUUGAGUGGUGAUUUAUGCCU